UACGUAGGCGGGAAAUUAAGUCAGUAGUGAAAUCCCACAGCUUAACUGUGGAACUGUUAUUGAUACUGGUUUUCUUGAAUAUAGUUGAGGUAGGCGGAAUGUGUAAUGUAUCGGUGAAAUGCUUAGAUAUUACACAGAACACCGAUUGCGAAGGCAGCUUACUAAGCUAUGAUUGACGCUGAGGUACGAAAGCGUGGGGAGCGAACAGGAUUAGAUACCCUGGUAGUCC
rnacentral:rRNA from 1 species